rnacentral:rRNA from 1 species
GAGUUUGAUCCUGGCUCAGAUUGAACGCUGGCGGCAGGCCUAACACAUGCAAGUCGAGCGGAAACGAGUUAACUGAACCUUCGGGGAACGUUAACGGCGUCGAGCGGCGGACGGGUGAGUAAUGCCUGGGAAAUUGCCCUGAUGUGGGGGAUAACCAUUGGAAACGAUGGCUAAUACCGCAUAAUAGCUUCGGCUCAAAGAGGGGGACCUUAGGGCCUCUCGCGUCAGGAUAUGCCCAGGUGGGAUUAGCUAGUUGGUGAGGUAAUGGCUCACCAAGGCGACGAUCCCUAGCUGGUCUGAGAGGAUGAUCAGCCACACUGGAACUGAGACACGGUCCAGACUCCUACGGGAGGCAGCAGUGGGGAAUAUUGCACAAUGGGCGCAAGCCUGAUGCAGCCAUGCCGCGUGUAUGAAGAAGGCCUUCGGGUUGUAAAGUACUUUCAGCAGUGAGGAAGGUGGGUAUGUUAAUAGCAUACUCAUUUGACGUUAGCUGCAGAAGAAGCACCGGCUAACUCCGUGCCAGCAGCCGCGGUAAUACGGAGGGUGCGAGCGUUAAUCGGAAUUACUGGGCGUAAAGCGCAUGCAGGUGGUUUGUUAAGUCAGAUGUGAAAGCCCGGGGCUCAACCUCGGAAUUGCAUUUGAAACUGGCAAACUAGAGUACUGUAGAGGGGGGUAGAAUUUUCAGGUGUAGCGGUGAAAUGCGUAGAGAUCUGAAGGAAUACCGGGUGGCGAANGCNGCCCCCCUGNACAGAUACUGACACUCAGAUGCGAAAGCGUGGGGGAGCAANANNNUUAGAUUCCCNUGNUAGUNCCACGNCUNNAAACNNUGUUCNNCUUGGGAGGUUCGNNGNCUUU